rnacentral:lncRNA from 1 species
GUUUAACGAUGUUCAAUCUGAGCGUCAUUAUUUCUAUAAUAGCCUACACUUUCUCCUUCUGAACUUCUACCGUGAGUGGCACGGUUGAGGCUUCGUGACAAUGAUCAAGAGCAGCUUCUCACCGAUUUGAAAACUCAGUUUCUCCUCAGACGCCGGCAAAACAUCAGAGAUGCGGGUGUGAGGCGGCAGGUAGCCUAGGGUGUGAGGCGGCAGGUAACCUAGGGUGUGUGGCGGCAGGUAACCUAGGGUGUGAGGCGGCAGGUAACCUAGGGUGUGAGGCGGCAGGUAACCUAGGGUGUGAGGCGGCAGGUAACCUAGGGUGUGAGGCGGCAGGUAGCCUAGGGUGUGUGGAGGCAGGUAACCUAGGGUGUGAGGCGGCAGUGGGCUAGAGUGUGAGGCGGCAGGUAACCUAGGGUGUGAGGAGGCAGGUAACCUAGGGUGUGAGGCGGCAGGUAACCUAGGGUGUGAGGAGGCAGGUAACCUAGGGUGUAAGGCGGCAGGUAGCCUAGGCGGCAGGUAGACUAGGGUGUGAGGCGGCAGGUAACCUAGGGUGUGAGGAGGCAGGUAACCUAGGGUGUGAGGCGGCAGGUAGCCUAGGCGGCAGGUAGCCUAGGGUGUGAGGCGGCAGGUAACCUAGGGUGUGAGGCCGCAGGUAACCUAGGGUGUGAGGCGGCAGGUAGCCUAGGGUGUGAGGCGGCAGGUAGCCUAGGGUGUAUGGCGGCAGGUAGCCUAGGGUGUGUGGAGGCAGGUAACCUAGGGUAUGAGGCGGCAGGUAGGCUAGGGUGUGAGGCGGCAGGUAACCUAGGGUAUGAGGCGGCAGGUAGGCUAGGGUAUGAGGCGGCAGGUAGGCUAGGGUGUGAGGCGGCAGGUAGGCUAGGGUGUGAGGCGGCAGGUAACCUAGGGUAUGAGGCGGCAGGUAGGCUAGGGUGUGAGGCGGCAGGUAACCUAGGGUAUGAGGCGGCAGGUAGGCUAGGGUGUGAGGCGGCAGGUAACCUAGUGGUUAAGAGCGUCGGGGGAAAAAAACAAAA